rnacentral:rRNA from 1 species
UACGUAGGGCGCGAGCGUUGUCCGGAAUUAUUGGGCGUAAAGAGCUCGUAGGCGGCCGGUUGCGUCUGCUGUGAAAUCCCGGGGCUUAACCCCGGGCGUGCAGUGGAUACGGGCCGGCUGGAGGCAGGCAGGGGAGAAUGGAAUUCCCGGUGUAGCGGUGAAAUGCGCAGAUAUCGGGAGGAACACCGGUGGCGAAGGCGGUUCUCUGGGCAUGUCCUGACGCUGAGGAGCGAAAGUGUGGGGAGCGAACAGG